GACGUAGGGGCGAGCGUUGUCCGGAUUUAUUGGGCGUAAAGCGCGCGUAGGCGGUUCGUUAAGUCGGAUGAUGAAAAUCCGGGGCUCAACCCCGGACCUGCAUCCGAUACUGGCGGACUGGAGGCAGGCAGGGGAGAUCGGAAUUCCUGGUGUAGCGGUGAAAUGCGCAGAUAUCAGGAGGAACACCGAUGGCGAAGGCAGGUCGUCUGGGCCACUACUGACGCUGAGCAAGACGAAGCAUGGGGAGCGAACAGG
rnacentral:rRNA from 1 species